UACGUAGGGGGCAAGCGUUAUCCGGAUUUACUGGGUGUAAAGGGAGCGUAGGUGGCAUAGCAAGCCAGAAGUGAAAACCCGGGGCUCAACCCCGCGGAUUGCUUUUGGAACUGUUAAGCUGGAGUGCAGGAGGGGCAGGCGGAAUUCCUAGUGUAGCGGUGAAAUGCGUAGAUAUUAGGAGGAACACCGGUGGCGAAGGCGGCCUGCUGGACUGUAACUGACACUGAGGCUCGAAAGCGUGGGGAGCAAACAGG
rnacentral:rRNA from 1 species